rnacentral:rRNA from 1 species
UCGAGCGGUAACAUUUCUAGCUUGCUAGAAGAUGACGAGCGGCGGACGGGUGAGUAAUGCUUGGGAACAUGCCUUGAGGUGGGGGACAACAGUUGGAAACGACUGCUAAUACCGCAUAAUGUCUACGGACCAAAGGGGGCUUCGGCUCUCGCCUUUAGAUUGGCCCAAGUGGGAUUAGCUAGUUGGUGAGGUAAUGGCUCACCAAGGCAACGAUCCCUAGCUGGUUUGAGAGGAUGAUCAGCCACACUGGAACUGAGACACGGUCCAGACUCCUACGGGAGGCAGCAGUGGGGAAUAUUGCACAAUGGGCGCAAGCCUGAUGCAGCCAUGCCGCGUGUGUGAAGAAGGCCUUCGGGUUGUAAAGCACUUUCAGUCAGGAGGAAAGGUUAGUCGUUAAUACCGGCUAGCUGUGACGUUACUGACAGAAAAAGCACCGGCUAACUCCGUGCCAGCAGCCGCGGUAAUACGGAGGGUGCGAGCGUUAAUCGGAAUUACUGGGCGUAAAGCGUACGCAGGCGGUUUGUUAAGCGAGAUGUGAAAGCCCCGGGCUCAACCUGGGAACUGCAUUUCGAACUGGCAAACUAGAGUGUGAUAGAGGGUGGUAGAAUUUCAGGUGUAGCGGUGAAAUGCGUAGAGAUCUGAAGGAAUACCGAUGGCGAAGGCAGCCACCUGGGUCAACACUGACGCUCAUGUACGAAAGCGUGGGGAGCAAACAGGAUUAUAUACCCUGGUAGUCCACGCCGUAAACGAUGUCUACUAGAAGCUCGGAACCUCGGUUCUGUUUUUCAAAGCUAACGCAUUAAGUAGACCGCCUGGGGA